rnacentral:rRNA from 13 species
GGAGCAUGUGGUUUAAUUCGAUGAUACGCGAGGAACCUUACCAAGACUUAAAUGGGAAAUGACAGAUUUAGAAAUAGAUCCUUCUUCGGACAUUUUUCAAGGUGCUGCAUGGUUGUCGUCAGCUCGUGCCGUGAGGUGUUAGGUUAAGUCCUGCAACGAGCGCAACCCCUGUCACUAGUUGCUAGCAUUAAGUUGAGGACUCUAGUGAGACUGCCUACGCAAGUAGAGAGGAAGGUGGGGAUGACGUCAAAUCAUCACGGCC